AUUGAACGCUGGCGGCAGGCCUAACACAUGCAAGUCGAGCGGAUGAAGGGAGCUUGCUCCUGGAUUCAGCGGCGGACGGGUGAGUAAUGCCUAGGAAUCUGCCUGGUAGUGGGGGAUAACGUCCGGAAACGGGCGCUAAUGCCGCAUACGUCCUGAGGGAGAAAGUGGGGGAUCUUCGGACCUCACGCUAUCAGAUGAGCCUAGGUCGGAUUAGCUAGUUGGUGGGGUAAAGGCCUACCAAGGCGACGAUCCGUAACUGGUCUGAGAGGAUGAUCAGUCACACUGGAACUGAGACACGGUCCAGACUCCUACGGGAGGCAGCAGUGGGGAAUAUUGGACAAUGGGCGAAAGCCUGAUCCAGCCAUGCCGCGUGUGUGAAGAAGGUCUUCGGAUUGUAAAGCACUUUAAGUUGGGAGGAAGGGCAGUAAGUUAAAACCUUGCUGUUUUGACGUUACCAACAGAAUAAGCACCGGCUAACUUCGUG
rnacentral:rRNA from 1 species